UCCAUGCGUUCUGCGGGCGGCUUUCCUAACCACUAUACCGUCCGUAAUUAGAGUAGAAGUGUUUAAAUAAUGUAAAUAAUGUCUGUAGAACACUAUAGGGAACCAAUAUUUUUCUUUAGAAGUUUUGAACCCAAAGGUAAAAGAUGACCAGAAUGUCCAAAGGGAUGAUGACUUGGAGACAUUACUGAAAACUCUAUACGUGGUGAAAUCAACCUUUCAGUCCUUUUCGUUGUGUCCUACAUGUUUGAGAAAUAGCGUUCAGUCUUCAGGAAAGCUGACGGGAUUCUUAAGCGAGAGAAAUUUAAGCAACCUCGAAGAUAAGCUGAAAAAUGCCAUAGACGCCAUUCAUUUUCAUCAAAGAGCUCAAGCUUUAAUGAAACUGAAGAGGCCUGGCAUGUUAGAGAAAUCUACACAAGUAAAUUUUGCAGAAGAUGGGUUUAAAGAUGACAGUUAUGAGUUUUAUACAAGAAGCAUUAUAGAUAGUGAAAAGCCAUGCAUUGUUGGAGAUUGUACAAAUCAAACUAUGGAGCUUCAAGAAAUACCUAAAUUACAAAAUGAAGCAACAGGAAAAUGCGCCGCUGUGACCCAAGGGAAUGUUCUGAGCAUUCAAAUAGAAUUCGACAGAUAUCUAAGGCUAUUGUAAAAUAGAAAAAUGAAGUUAAACUAAUAGAUAUAUAAAUUAAAUCUUAAGUAUAAUUUCUUUCUUUCUGCGAAUAGUGUAAAAUAGAAAAACUCAGUUUUAUUGCGCAAAUCCUGUAACUCAUAAAAUAAUCAUUUAAUCGUUUUUGUGCCAUUUGGUAAAGAGUUUGUUAUAUUUCCCUUUUUUGCUUCAUGUACUUACUGAAAAAAUUGCUUUUGAGGAGAAACACUACAAAAAGGAGCCAUCUAAACAGAUCAAAUGGGGUAAAAUUAAUUAAAUAUGCCUGUUUUUAACUGUUUAAAAGUAAGCCUAUCUGCCUUGAAUAUAUAUUAUAUUCUUUUAGAACUUGAAAAUAAAUUAUUUUAUUAUAACUAUUUUAAAAAAUAAGCUGCGUUUCUAACAAGGAUAUUUUACCAGAAAAAUGAAUAUCAUCCUAUAUUUGGGCCAACAAGAUAAUUGGAUUCAGACUCACACGAAUAUUCGAUUUCAGAUUACUUAGUUGAUUUGAUUAAUUUUGAGACUUUGUUUUACUUGGUUUUAUAAAUCACAGAAAUAAGCUCUUUAACUGGUUUUCUUAGAAAAAAAAUCUCGCAGUUUUCUUGAUUUAAAUACACGUCGCGCCUCUUCGCACAACAUAACUUUUACAAAUGUGUGCCUUUUAUAUGUACUUGAACAACAAAAUAAAUAACAAUGUUCUUUUAAACAGUAAUAUUUGAAUCUUGUGCUUUAAUUAUCUGUUAUUUUUCAUUCCAUUCUCGAAA